AAAGUAUCUCAAAUCAGAAUAAGCCUAACGGGUGAAACACCAAAAUGGUUGCACGCCUUGAAGUCGCAACAUCCUGAAACUUCCAAUGAUUGUCAAUGUUCUUCCAUGGCGGCAGAGACGACUGACCUCAUUAAAUUCCACUUUGAAAUUUCACAUCGUAAAUUGCAUUCAUUUGCUGAAUAAAUACCACAACUCCCCAAUUAAUCCUCCUCCAAAUUCAGAGGAGCAAUGGCACCCAAAUUAAUGAAUGCUAUUCAGUAUUUUGGCUAUGGUGGUGGAGUUGCUGCAUUAAAGCGUGUUAAGGUUGCUGUUCCUGAUCCAAAGGCUGAUGAGGUUCUGUUAAAAGUUGAGGCUGCAUCUUUAAAUGCAUUUGAUUGGAAGAUACAGGAGGGCAUACCUCGACCCAUAUUACCCCGAAAGUUCCCUUAUAUACCAGGAACUGAUGUUGCAGGGGAGGUAGUCCAGGCUGGAUCUUCUGUAAAGAAGUUUAAAGUUGGUGACAAGGUCCUGGCCUUGUUUAGCCAUGCUACUGGGGGUGCACUGGCUGAAUAUGCUGUGGCAAAGGAGAACAUAGCAGUUGCUAGACCCCCAGAAUUAUCAGUACCCGAAGGCGCUGGCCUACCUCUUGCUGCUCUUACUGCUCAUCUAGCACUUACCCAUGCAGGCAUCAAGUUUGAUGGAAGUGGUGAAAGGAAAAACAUAUUGAUCACAGCUGCAUCAGGGGGUGUGGGUCACUAUGCAGUGCACAUGGAAAAGCUUGGAAACACACAUGUAACGGCAACAUGUGGGGCCCGUAACCUAGAGUUUGUCAAGGGAUUGGGCGCUGAUGCAGUUCUUGACUAUAAGACCUCAGAAGGAGCUUCCUUGAAAAGCCCUUCAGGAAAGAAAUACGACUAUGUGAUCCAUUGUGCUAUGGGCAUCCCUUGGGCCACAUUUGAGCCUAAUUUGAGUGCAACUGGUAAGGUGAUAGACUUGACUCCUGGCCUUGGUGCAAUGAUGACAUUUGCUAUGCAGAAGCUAACAUUCUCUAAGAAGCAAUUGGUGCCUCUAAUUCUGUCUCCAAAGUUAGAGAACUUUGAAUAUGUUGUGAAUUUGGCAAAGGAAAGGAAGAUUAAAACAGUCAUAGACUCGAAACAUCCCUGGAGUAAGGCUGAAGAUGCUUGGAGUAGGAUAAUGAGUGGACAUGCUACGGGAAAGAUUAUAAUAGAGCUUUGAAUAGAAAAUACGUAUAGACAGAUAUUAUUACUGGCUUAAAGAUUUCAGAGCUUUAGGAAAGAAACUCUUCAAAAAAUAAGCCAAAUACCAAAAACUCAGAAAGGCCUUCUCAAACUGUGGUAAGAAGACUGAGACUUGAAAGAGGGAGUAUCAUCUGACAUCUGACGCGCAA